rnacentral:rRNA from 1 species
UAGUACGAGAGGACCGGGAUGGACGGACCGCUGGUGUAUCUGUUGUUGUACCAACAGCAUGGCAGAGUAGCCAAGUCCGGCAGGGAUAAACGCUGAAGGCAUCUAAGCGUGAAGCCCCCCUCAAGAUGAGAUAUCCCUGACACAAGUCAAUAAGACCCCUUGAAGACGACGAGGUAGAUAGGCUUGAGGUGGAAGUGUGGUAACACAUGGAGCUGACAAGUACUAAUCGGUCGAAGGCUUAACUUA